ACUAUUUUGGCAGAAAAAAUGUAAUGGUUUUAGAAGUCAUUUAUAUAUAAAUUAUUAUAUAAGUAGUA
rnacentral:tRNA from 1 species